rnacentral:rRNA from 1 species
UGGGGAAUAUUGGACAAUGGGCGAAAGCCUGAUCCAGCCAUGCCGCGUGAGUGAAGAAGGCCUUCGGGUUGUAAAGCUCUUUUGUUGGGAAAGAAAAGCAAUCGGUUAAUACCCGGUUGUCCUGACGGUACCCAAAGAAUAAGCACCGGCUAACUUCGUGCCAGCAGCCGCGGUAAUACGAAGGGUGCAAGCGUUACUCGGAAUUACUGGGCGUAAAGCGUGCGUAGGUGGUUCGUUAAGUCUGAUGUGAAAGCCCUGGGCUCAACCUGGGAAUUGCAUUGGAUACUGGCGGGCUGGAGUACGGUAGAGGGUGGCGGAAUUCCUGGUGUAGCAGUGAAAUGCGUAGAUAUCAGGAGGAACAUCCGUGGCGAAGGCGGCCACCUGGACCAGUACUGACACUGAGGCACGAAAGCGUGGGGAGCAAACAG